rnacentral:rRNA from 1 species
CGGACGGGUGAGUAACACGUGGAUAACCUACCUAUAAGACUGGGAUAACUUCGGGAAACCGGAGCUAAUACCGGAUAAUAUAUUGAACCGCAUGGUUCAAUAGUGAAAGACGGUUUUGCUGUCACUUAUAGAUUGAUCCGCGCCGCAUUAGCUAGUUGGUAAGGUAACGGCUUACCAAGGCAACGAUGCGUAGCCGACCUGAGAGGGUGAUCGGCCACACUGGAACUGAGACACGGUCCAGACUCCUACGGGAGGCAGCAGGA